AAUAUUUCACAAGGAUUGAAAGCCUGAUGCAGCAAUGCCGCGCGAGUGAUGAAUGCAUUCGUGUCGUAAAUCUCAUUGAUCAGGGAUGAUAAUGACAGUACCUGAAAAACAAGCCACGGCUACGUACGUGCCAGCAGCCGCGGUAAUACGUAGGUGGCGAGCGUUGUCCGGAAUUACUGGGCGUAAAGGAUGCGUAGGUGGAUAUUUAAGUGGGAUGUGACUGCACCGGGCUCAACCCGGGAACUGCAUUCCAAACUGGGUGUCUAAAGUGCAGGAGAGGAAAGCGGAAUUCCUAAUGUAGCGGUGAACUGCGUAGAUAUUAGGAGGAACACCAGUGGCGAAGGCGGCUUUCUGGACUGUAACUAACACUGAGGCAUGAAAGCGUGGGUAGCAAGCAGG
rnacentral:rRNA from 1 species